ensembl:lncRNA
AUGGGGCAGCCCUAUAGGGUGAUAUGGGGCUGGCCUAUAGGGCGAUAUGGGGCUGGCCCUAUAGGGCGCUAUGGGGCAGCCCUAGACAGAGAUGGAUCCCUGGCGGAAGUCGGAUUUGCUGAUAAGGGCGUUGAUAAGGACGGGCCGACCCCGCCCGCAUCGAUCCUGAGCGUCACGAAGAACCGCGGCCACUUGUGGGGCAGAGCGACCCACAACUGCAUCCACUUGUGGGGCAGAGCGACCCACAACCGCAUCCACUUGUGGGGCAGAGCGACCCACAACUGCAUCCACUUGUGGGGCAGAGCGACCCACAACCGCGUCCACUUGUGGGGCAGAGGGACCCACAACCGCAUCCACUUGUGGGGCAGAGCGACCCACAACCAAACCGUGAGCACCAGAGCCUCGGCUGCACUGUGGUAAUCUAUGGGGAGAGAGAAUGGGGUCAGAUGACAUAUAGGGUGACUAUAGGGUCGUAAAGGGGCUGAUCCUAUAGGGGACUAUAGGGCCAUAAAGGGGCUGAUCCUAU